AAAAUUGUUCGCUGAUUUGGAGAUAACUGAUGACCUGAGAAACUAUGAUUUAGAAACUAAAGUUUACUACAGUCGCUUGGGUAACCAACAAUUUGUUCUAAUGGCGUUUAAGUUUCCUCGUCGACCCAUGUGUGAUCAGCUAAAAAAUGAGUUUUGCGUAAAAAUAUUUCGCAGCUUGCAAAACUGUUCAAAUAUUCCAUUCUCCGAGGAUCCAAACGUAGAACUAUGUGAUUUAAUGACAUUGGGUUACUACUAUGAACGUAGCUGUUCAAUCGAUCCAUCAAUAUUCUCGUACAAAAUGCUUACGGGAAGAUUUCGAUUUGAGACCUACUUUUAUAAACGAGGAGAGAAUGAAGUGCUUCAGUCAAUCGUAAUACAGAUAAUGGCUACGUAAGCACAAAGCAAUGCUUACAGUUGCAAUGCACUUGCGAAUCAUUACCACACAAUAAUGGCACAAAUUGCAUGGUGUUUCUAUUCAUCCCAAAUUUUGGCACCGAAAAUGUUGACGAAAUAAUAAAGAUGUUCUUC